rnacentral:rRNA from 1 species
UACGGAGGGGGCUAGCGUUGUUCGGAAUUACUGGGCGUAAAGCGCACGUAGGCGGAUCAGUCAGUUAGGGGUGAAAGCCCAGGGCUCAACCCUGGAACUGCCUUUAAUACUGCUGAUCUGGAGGUCGAGAGAGGUGAGUGGAAUUCCGAGUGCAGAGGUGAAAUUCGUAGAUAUUCGGAGGAACACCAGUGGCGAAGGCGACUUACUGGCUCGAUACUGACGCUGAGGUGCGAAAGUGUGGGGAGCAAACAGG